GACGGAGGAUGCAAGUGUUAUCCGGAAUCACUGGGCGUAAAGCGUCCGCAGGUGGCAAGUCAAGUCUGCUGUUAAAGACAGAAGCUCAACUUCUGAUAGGCAGUGGAAACUGGUUUGCUAGAGUAUGGUAGGGGUUGAGGGAAUUCCCAGUGUAGCGGUGAAAUGCGUAGAUAUUGGGAAGAACACCAGUGGCGAAGGCGCUCAACUGGGCCAUAACUGACACUCAGGGACGAAAGCUAGGGUAGCGAAAGGG
rnacentral:rRNA from 1 species